UCGUACCGCUAGGGGUCCUGGCAGCCGCAACCGGCUGGCCGGGUGAGAAAUACCCUUGAACCUGAUCUGGAUAAUGCCAGCGAAGGGAAGCAACCGGCAGCAAGA
rnacentral:ncRNA from 2 species